AACCCCUGAUUUUGCAAUGAUGUCUGCAACAGUGGUUUGCUCCCUAAGAAUCCAGACCAGAUUUACAUUCAAUGACUCUAAGAUAUCUUGAGCUUCAACUAGCAGAUGAGCAAAUCUCCAAGGCCCUCCUUCCUUCUCCCUUAGCCAGGCUAUCGUAUUUGCAGAGUCCCCUUUUAUAGUUAAGGAGCAAAAGCCCAACUGUUUAGCAAGCCAAAUUCCUGCAAGUGCUGACAAGACCUCUGCUUUUAUAGCAUCAACUCUCCCAAUCAGACCACUAUAAGCCCAGCUGAUCCCCCACAGAAGACACCACCAUUUCCUGCUUGGCUGGUAGAUCCUUGGGCACUACCAUCAAAGUGUAGGAUCAUCCCACCUUCUUCCAUAAUAAGGCUUCUCAUGGUUGAUUCAGCUCUAGGAGAGGACUGUAGGAUGGCUGGAAGGUUACUUUGGAGGUCAUUUAGAGACAGACCUUUGAAAGCUUCAGAAUUAACCACCCAAAGGUUACAGAGGAAAGUUAUGUAAGAGAUUGGGUCUUCCACAUUUCUGAAUUUGUUUUCUAAGGCUCUGCUGUUCCAUUCUUCCCAAAUACCCCAAAGGAUUGCAUGUGUCACUGUACUCCAAUAUACCGUUCCUUUUUUUCCUAGACCUUUGCCUUUCCACUGCCACAGGUGGUCCACUACCUUCUCAGGGAAAACCUAGCCAUAACCAAGUUUAGGAAGAAACACCAAACCUUCCUAGUGACAGGGCAGUGGAGAAGAAUGUGGUUAUCUGUUUACUGAGAGAAAAGAGCGGGGAACCUGGCUUGAGAAACUUACUUUCGGAGUGUUUGGUCUCGGUAACAGGCAAUAUGAGCAUUUCAAUAGGUGGCAAAGGAUGUGGAUGAGCUCCUUGCUGAACAGGGUGGGAAACGACUUGUCCCUGUGGGUCUUGGAUAUGAUGAUCAGUGUAUUGAAGAUGACUUUGCAACAUGGCGAGAAUUGGUAUGGCCUGAGUUGGAUCAGCUGCUGAGGGAUGAGGAUGAUACAUCUGUUUCCACUCCUUACACUGCUGCUGUUCCAGAGUACCGGGUCAUAUUUUAUGAUCCUGCAGAUGUGCCAGUAAAAGGCAAUAACUGGAGUAAUGCAAAUAAAUGGUCAUGCUGUAUAUGAUAUUCAACAUCCAUGCAGGUCUAAUGUGGUUGUGCGGAGAGAACUUCACACCCCAGAAUCUGAUCGUUCUUGCAUUCAUGUUGAAUUUGACAUUUCAGGCACUCGUUCAAGUGGCAUGGCAAUUUUGUUUUCGUGAGUUUUGUUCUUGUUUGGUGCAAUAUUUAGGUACUGUGAACUACCAUGAAUUUGUUCAUGUUUUAUUAGAUAUAAUUCAUAAAUCAUAAUUGUUAGUGAGAAUGAUUUGAUUUUAAAGAUGUCAUCAGAUGGAAGUUCUUAUGACAGAACCGGUUUAAUUACAUGAAUUCUCAAUGCGUGUAUAUG